GUGAGUUCAGGAGCUCAGAGCUGACAUGGAGAGCUGAAAGGACUUUGCAAAGCAGAGAUUAAUUUCUGGCAAAGGAUGUCUGACAUUCACGAGCUAUUAAAGCUUUUGGAUAUAAAAAGCAUUGGCCUGUUUUAUGAAGGAAAGAACCACAGAGUGCACUGCUGGUAGUGCCAAAUCCUCUCCUCCCAGUCUUGGGGCAGCUCCGGAGUGCUGCUGCAGAGCCCAUGGGGUGAGACUGUCACUGAAGCUGCGCUGCGUCCUGUCUGUGAUCACACGUCCUGCUGCAUCCCAGCUGAGGAGGCCUCAUAAACAGGCAGACCUACGGGAGUGUACAACUCAGACAUUUUGCUUGGAGUAAUACCAAGAAUUCAUCCCCUGCCAAUAUCAAGCCCUGUGUCAAAGCAGGCUACUUUGCAGACAUCUGUGCGUGUCUAGAUGAUGCAGUCCCUGUGGAGACAUGGAUACAUACAGGUAGCAGGCAGGAGCAGACUGAUUCACUGUGCCUAUGGUGGAUGAGAUGAACGGCUCCCAUUUCUCCCUAUUGAUCACAAAGGUAAUGCAGUGAUGACAAGCCUGGCAGCAGAUGUCAAUGCUUUAGAAAGUGAUGUGCAGUGAGCUGCAUUUUCUUCAUUGUGAUACAUGUCACAUUCUCUAGCAUUACUUUUGAUACACCAUCAAGACUACCUGCUGCUCUGUGAUUAAUGCCAUGUUCAGGCAGCUCCAAGGUACGGAUGAGACUGAUG